rnacentral:sRNA from 1 species
UUGACAGCACUAGAAAAUGAAGAUUUCUAUUUGUCCACAGCCCAGGAACAGCCAGCUGAGGUAUCUUCAGACCUGUUUGGSCAGCACUGCGUGAGGCCAGGCAGGGCCUCCUUGCCCAUCCAUCCUUGGCACAG